GGGACAAAAUUUGGCGGAAGAUGAAGAAUAACUAGAAAAUGCAUUUCCUGCAAAAAUGCGUGGGAAUGCUAAAUAGCUGAAUUGCUAAAGCUAAACUGGAUAAAUUGCUUAAAUCAGUAAGAA